AGCAGCCGCGGUAAUUCCAGCUCCAAUAGCGUAUAUUAAAGUUGUUGCAGUUAAAAAGCUCGUAGUUGAACUUCGGGGUUUACCCAUUGGUCAGGCUUAAUUGUCCGCACUGGUGAGAUGAAUCUCUACCUUCUGAGGAACUUUCAUGCUAUUUAUUUGGUGUGAUGGGAAAUCAGGACUGUUACUUUGAAAAAAUUAGAGUGUUUAAAGCAGGCUAACGUCUGAAUACAUUAGCAUGGAAUAAUGAAAUAGGACGGACUGAUUCUAUUUCGUUGGUUUCUAGGAUCACCGUAAUGAUUAAUAGGGAUAGUUGGGGGCAUUAGUAUUCAAUUGUCAGAGGUGAAAUUCUUGGAUUUAUUGAAGACUAACUACUGCGAAAGCAUUUGCCAAGGAUGUUUUCAUUAAUCAAGACGAAAGUUAGGGGAUCGAAGACGAUCAGAUACCGUCGUAGUCUUAACCAUAAACUAUGCCGACUAGGGAUCGGACG
rnacentral:rRNA from 1 species